rnacentral:rRNA from 1 species
UACAGAGGUCUCGAGCGUUGUUCGGAUUCAUUGGGCGUAAAGGGCGCGUAGGCGGCGGGGCAAGUCGGGUGUGAAAUCUCAGAGCUCAACUCUGAAACUGCACUCGAUACUGCUUUGCUUGAGGACUGGAGAGGAGAUUGGAAUUCACGGUGUAGCGGUGAAAUGCGUAGAUAUCGUAAGGAAGACCAGUGGCGAAGGCGGGUCUCUGGACAGUUCCUGACGCUGAGGCACGAAGGUCAGGGGAGCAAACGGG